UGGUGAUUAGCCCCAGACGCUGAUGUUAAUUGUUGUGCUGUCUCAGGAGAAUACAGCUGCAAUGACAUGACCUUUGUGUGUGUGGUAGUUAUACUCGCACCAUGUAGCUUAAAGAAAAAAAUCCUUACUUUCAAGAAUAGGGAAAGUAGGGUCAAAAGCAGGUAAAUGACUUGUAGACAUAUGUUGUAUUUUAGAUUUAAAAGUGGGGAUCUUCUGCUAAAUAAUAACAGAAGUUCCUUAGUAAUGCUGUUUUAAUAUUUGAAUAUGAGUUGUAUUGACAGAUGGGCUGUACAUGUAGGAAAUAUAGAGGGCUGCCUGUACAAUUUAUUUGUUAAAGGACCUACUUCCAGGAGUAAUUGAACAAAUAAUUAAAUCACUGAGAGAUAGAAAUCAGAUAAUUUAAAUCUUUUGGUAUUCAACAGUGGUUAACUCCAAGUUCUGCAGAAAAUAAAGCCUACUUAAAUGCUGUUUCUUAUUCAUACGUUCAGGAGUUAUUGGUAUAAGCAGAAACCACUUUAUUUAAGUCUCAAAGUUCAUCAAUUGACCUCUAUUACUCAUCAUUUAUCCUGAGUGUUUAGUCAAUAAACAGAAAAAAAAAAACAAAAAAAACAAGUACAUUUAUUCUGCAAGUGAACAUAGCAUAGUAGCUGUAGGAGCUUACUGGAAAGAACUAGAAAUCUUAAGAGUCCAGAUCUGUUUCUUGUACUGACUUGACAUCCUCUCUUGGAUGUCUCAAAGACACCUCAAAAUCAGCAUGUGUAAGACUGAACUCAUGAUCUUCUCUCAGACCUGGUCAUCUUUCAGUGUUUCCUAUCUCAGUCGAAGGCACUGGCCUCCACCCGGCUCAAAGCUCGAAAUCUGAAAGUCAGCCUUUAUUCCCCCUCUUCUGCCCCUCCCCCAUUCACUCCAUCAUGUGAUCCUGCAAGCUUUAUCCCUGUAAAAUCUCAAAUCUGCCCACUUCUCUCAAUCGCCACCUGUACCCUAGUCCAGCCUGCAUUGUCUCUUGCCUGGAUUGAAUCUCCUCAUCAGUCCAUGAGUGAUUAUUCCUGCCCCUUCCUGCAUGAACACAAAAGCACAAUGACCUAGGCAAAAUACAGAUCUAAUCAGAUAACUUCUCUGCAUCAAACCUUUUACUUAUCUUCAGAUAAAUGAGCAUUGGGAAGAAUCGUAAUCACAACCAUGGAACUCCUCAAGGUCUCUACUGCCCACCUCUCCAGCCGCACGUCCCGUUCUCCUCUCUCUGCAGUACCUGAAAGAAAUUGCCUUUCUUUUGGUCACUGAUGCUUUCCUGCCACAGGGCCUUGGCACAGGCUUCUCCCCUGCCUGAGCUGCCUUUUCUCUCUUGCCUGGUUAACUCCUCCUUAUCUUUGAGGGCUCAGUUUGUACCAGAUCCUCAGGGAAAUUCGCAGACAUCACUAAUUCAAAUCUCCUCUUAGAGGUGUGCAUUGACUACAUUGUGGCUCUUUUCUUGGUAGCCCCCUUUGACAUGCUGGUGUCUGCCUACACGUGUUGGUGUCAUUAGUGACAGCAAUGAUAGCAGCCCCUCCUACUUCCUUCCUCCAUCUAUAAACCAUAAAUUUCACAGAACCAGGAACAGGGUCCAGGUUUCCUUAUCAGUGCCUUUCUCACACUGAAUAGCAUGUUAGGUGAAUAAUGGUUGUCUGAUAUUUACUGAAAGAAAGAAUAAAUGAAGAAAUGAUCUAUGUAUGUCUUUGAAUGAGGUACCAACAACUUGUGCCAUGGCAUCAUCAUCUGCAAAAUGAAG
rnacentral:lncRNA from 1 species